rnacentral:lncRNA from 1 species
UUGUGCCACUACUAAUAAUACAAUUACAAGUGGUUACAUAUUCAUAUCGUAUAUUUGAUCUUAACACAAUACAAUAAUUAAAUACUGACAUGAACUGUACAUUGAUCUCAGUACUAUACAAUAAUUAAAUAUGAGAGACUGUUUCAUUUAUCAAAUUAGAUUUUUGAAGAUGAUACGGUACUUUUGGAACGGUGUAAUAGAACUCUCCAACGAGAAUGGCCUUAUCCGCGCCGCGAUAUUUUUGGCCAGGGACGGGGCACACGGAGGCGUCCUAUCCUAGCUGGACGCGUGACCAUGCGGACGUGGACGCCGCUUGGCCGUAGGUCGCGGUUCCCAGGCUUCGAGCGGCUACACUGCAUGGCGGGCAAGUAGCAUCCGGCGGCCACGCUCGCGCUCGUGCGGCACCGCACAGCACCACCACAGAUGACACAAGGGACGAGGGCCGCGGGCCCCGCCUGGGCCGACUUUGGAGGAUAGGUACGCCCGCCGCGCGGCUUGGGCCACGCGUUGGUCCGGCUGUCGCGCAUGCCCCCAGCCCACCUCAUCAUCAGCCCACCCGCGCCCGCGGUUUCCUUCCUAAUCUGGAAGUUUUUACCACGUGCUAUCCCCAACAAGACAACAAUGUCCGAUAUAGUUGCAUCGCAGGAGGGGAGGAGCGCCGUAAAGAUCCCAUUGCCCAAAGGCCCGGCGCCACGGUCACUGAGCUGCGGGCCCACCGCGCCCCCCC